UGAGAACAACCUGGAGCUGUGGGAGAGAUCAAGGAGGUGACUUCUCAUAAGUUCCAACUUGCUUCAAACCCUACUCUUCUUCAAACCCAUCUCCAGACUUCUGAAAGGAGGUGAGGAACACACAUGCUUUUGAUUUAAAGUCCUCAGAGGGCCUGUGGGGAUGCUUUGCAUCCAAGAUGUGGCUAACUACACCAGCUAAUUUUCUGCCUAUCUGGUGCCACCCUGCCCUACCUUCCCUCUGACAGAAACUCAGUCCAGAAACUGCCCAGCCAGUAUGGGAUGGAGGAUCUGGAAGGACUCCAUUUAGCUGAGUAUGCAGCCUGGAGUGUAAAGGGAGAUCAGAGACUGGGACACAGAAACCCUGGAGUAAUGCGUGUUGUUCCUAUGUCAUGCAGUUGUGGUUUUGAAUUAUGAUGUGGGAGAAGGAUGCAAGUGACUGAAACCUACAGGAACUUACAGCAAGGCCAAAACCUGAAGCAAGGCAAAAUGUUGACUCACAGAACCUGCAGCUAUAAACUCUCGUGUAGUGGCACACUUUAGGAAGUCAACAUUGUAAGUAGAACGGUUCAAGAAGCUGAAGUGGAUAUUGAACAAAUUAUGCAUCAGCUAAAAGCUUCAAUGGAUUUUCUGGUAAACUACCAUUGCGAUAAGAGCUUCGCAAGUGUUCUGACUGGUGCUAAGAAACUGGCUGUUGAGCUGGAAACUGAAGCUUGUUAACCAAAAGAAGAACAAUUUAAGACUACAAACCAGAAAGAGAAUCUUUGAUUAUGGACCCGGCAAUGAACCUUUAACGAGUCCAGAAGAGAACUAUAAAGUCGCUUUUUGAUGCUGCCCUGCAGUCAUGCUAAUAAAGAUUUCUACAACCUGAGCAGCACUAUCAGCUGUUUGGUUUUUUGUAUGAUAAACACACAGCAAAGAUGCCCCAAGGAGAAUGACAACAGUGUUGUUUUAAGAGAACCAUUAGACAACGGACAGAUGGUGAAGACACUUAAAUGCUCCAGGUCUUCAAGAUCUUGAUGAGCAGCUGAAGCCUGGUACAUGCCCAGAAGCCUCAUUUGUGCAAAAUGAGCUUCUGUUUUCAAACACAUCCAUUGCAUUCAGAAUUCUGUUAAUCUUGUUUGCAUCUUCCGCAAGCAGAGCAGCAUUCAUUCUUAGGCUAGAUAUCGGAGUGUGCCAGUUGGAGAGGGCCUGUUUGUCAAAAACUUCCCCAAGGAGUGGUGUCAGGACCUCCUACAAUCCUAGCAGGCCUCUGUAAGAUCAUCCCUUCCCUUCCCAAAGCUGGAGUAUUCAACACAUUACUGGACCCAGUCCCAGCACGGCAAUGAGUGACUGCUAGUCAGCCGGAAGGCACAAUGAUCAGGUGACACAGAGGGGCAUGCGGUACACAGACCUGGAUGGAGAAAAGCAGCUUGAUGUCCUGAGUGAACACCACUGAACUCCUUCUAACUGCAGGAAAGGGACUUCACAGAGCACUGCUACUUGAACCACUGCAAAAAUGUUUUUUUUUAAGACAAUGCAGCAUUUAGGGAAUGCCUGUCUGAAAUGGAUAUGGUAACAUCACGUGCAGUGUAUACAACACCAUAAACCCCCCACAGAGCCUAGCCUAGCUUAGCCCCCAAUGUGUCCUGGGGACUCCUGGAUACAAUGGUAAUACAGAUAAUGAACAGUAAUACUGCCCCUAGCCAGCUCCCAUUUUGUUUGUCCCAAGGCAACUGAGCUCUCUCCCUUUGCUAUGUAGCAGCUGGCCCCAAGCAAGGUGCACUUCCCUUUAAAACCCAUGCUAGUUCACAGCACAGGUUGGCUUUCACUCAAAGGGUCAACCAGAAGGCAACAUUGCUGGAGGAAGUGAAGAGUGCAGUUGCCAUGGCAAUGCUGCUGGCUUACAUCAACUGAAUUGCCAAUUUGCUAAAACCUUGUUCUUUUGGAGGCUCCAGAACUUGGCACUACUUCCACUCUGGAUGUCCAGCCCGGAUAUGGGAUAAUGUUUGGGACAGAAAGACCCGUCAAAAUAGCUCCAUCGAGGCAGGGUUGGGUUUGGUGUGGCAUUAAGCUUCCCACUGGCCGCUACUUAGCAUAGGAUUCACAAGGAGGGAGACUGCCUUCAUUUAUACACAGUGCAUGCGUGCCCUUCUUUCCCUCUAUCUGUUCCUCUUUUUAUGAAAGGAGCCUUUCUCCCCAAUUCAGCCAAGCCUGAGCUACUGCACUAGUAGUCAGUUCUCCAUGCAGGCAUCAUCUUUCCUACAUCUUCUCUGAUCUCUCUCUUUGAUUUCUGUUUCCCUCUUAGUGGCCAUUGGGAUAUCCUUUAUGAUGUCCAGCUGGGCUGCCCAUUUUGACGUCAUUAUCCAGUGGAGAAACUGACAAGGAACAAGGCUGCUCAGAAACUCCUUUCUCCCUUUCCAGACCUAGGUCCAUGGGCUUGCCUGCCACCCUGCUUUUUACCAUGGCUUGCAGCCCGGGAUUCCUGACAGGUACCAGAAAUAAAAGGGGAUAGCCGUCAAUGCCAGGAGCUGAGCAUAAACUGGCAGCAUCUAGCAGAGGAGCAACAGGGAAAAUGUUAGCCCUGAUUCUCCUCUCAAUCACGAAAGUGCUUAAAUCUGGAGGAGAGCUAUUGCAAUCAUUGGAAUCAUACCUGUGUAAAAUGGGUAUGAAAACAUAAGCCCUGCGGGUAUGGUUGUAUUCCACUAGUUAGUCACCCAAGUAGAAUUAGAUGUCUAAGUGCAAUCUUAUUCCACCCUGCUUGAAUCCCUGAAAAAAAUUUCACACAAAAGGUAGAUGGGUCCUCCUAUUGUCUGUUGCGUUUUGUGGUUUAGUCUUUAGGCUGAGAUGAUGAUGUGUUACAGAAGUAGCCACAUUCAUGCUUUUUCAGGGACUUAAGCAGGAUGGAAUAGGGUCAUACUUGGGCAUCUCAUUCCGCUUAGAGGUGGAAUAGUAUCUGGCCCUAUGUUUUUUGCCUAUAUCCUUUGCUACCCUAAAGGCAACAUUUUAGGAGCAGUGGGCUGAAUUAAUGGAGUUCGGUCCAAAGGCAGGACACCACUGCUGCCACCACAUCCUGGCCUCCUCCCCAUUGUAUGGCUUCUGAUUUCCCUGUCAACACCAUCCUGUCGCCAAACUGACACCAAUGUCCCUGCUUACCAGGCUGGAUACAAUCGCUUGACAGGCCAAAUCCAACCUUCAGGCUAUAGGUUGCCAACCCCUGCUUUAGGACCACGUGUGCUCAAGCCUGCCUCAAAAUCCAGACUCUUGUUAAUGGUAAAAUCUCAGAGCCGGUCAAAAGCCUUCAGGUUCCUCAACCUUUAAUUCCUGCUUUUAGAGUAAGCGAAUCCCCAUAAUCUGUGCAGCCAUUCUGAUCUGCAGGCAAGGAGAUGGCCAGAUUCCUGGUUCUUGUAGCUCAGGAGAGUUCAGAAUCAGUGGUCCUUGUGCUCAAAAGGGGGCUGUCAUCUAAUAAUUCAGAACAGAAAAGGCCUAGGCUUAUGGAAAAAUGCCUGAAUUUUCUCAUUCUAACCUCCUCCUCCCUCAAUAGUCCAUAAACUAUAACUGCCUCAUACAUGCUGUUUGUUUAGCUCCUUGUGGCUGUUAAUGCUUGGCUGAGUAGAAACAGAGUUUGGAGCUGAAGGUCUGUGGGAGAAGAAAUUAGUGAGGAAUUGGCAGGAUAUUUUCACAGUGCUUAGAAGCAGGGAUGCACAGCAUAUUCACCCAUGCUCCCUGGGAAUAUUCAAAAGUGGUACACUUGCCCAGGAUGGUUUAGUCAGGGAUGAUCCUACCAUAGCAGGAGGCUGGACUAGGUGACCUCACAAGGCCCCUUGCAUCUCUACUUUCUUGCGAUCCUAUGCUUAAGCAAAUGCUAGAUCCAAGCCAGUUUAGAACAGCACUUGCACAUGCAAUUGACUUUCUCUUGCAUUUAAUUUCUGUGGAAGUAAGUGUUAGCAUAGGCUUAAAUGCUUUCUUGAAUUAGGGUCUAAACAAGAAGGGAGAUGAAACUAAAGUUGACUCAGGAAUGUCUGAGAUCGCCUUGAAAUUAACAGUAACUACAGAACAUUCAACAGUUCAGAUGACAGAAAGGCACAUUAAAUAGCUAUUAAAAAUUAGACAGUCUUAUAAAUCAGUGUUCAUUAAUCUAACGCUUUUUAUAAACAAUACUCAUAAACUAAUAAAGUCCUCAUCCAGCCCUAAAAAAUGGGCCGCACUGCAAUAUAUUAGCCCAAAAACUCUGCAGAAAAAUGACAGUCAGCAACUUGCAGGGAUAACUUCUACUUACAGGAAAAUUAUGGAAUAAAGGCCUGAGGGUGGAAAAAAUGAUUCACAACCUAGUUUAGUGAUGAAUAAGUCACAAGGCACAUGCAGCACAGGUUUUAUCAAGAGUAAGUCUUACCAAAGCUACUUGGCUUGUUUUUUUUUUCUGGCAGAAUUAUAAAAUGGAAGAAGGGCAGUUGUAAUAUGUUGGGAUGUCAAUAAUAACAUGUUGGUUUUUUUUCUCAAAAAACUUGCUCUCACACAGAAUUAAUUCACAUUACUGUGGAUACAGACAGGGUCACAUGGACUGUCAGCUAGCAUGGAGAGAGGGAGGGGCAAGUGAUAAACUGAGGAGCAAGUCUGUGAACUAGUUGGGAGGUUGCAUGGUCUAAUGAAAGGGUUCUCACAUGGGGGUCACAGCUCUAGGGCCAGGGGUUUCACUAGGGGUAAUAUAGUGGACUGGGAAUCAAGGGACCUGUGCCCUGUUUCUCACUCUGCUGACAACCUGCUGACUUCACCUUUCCUCCCAUCAUUUCUCCCUUUCUGGCAGUAGGAUCUUUGGGCAGGGGCCUUCACUCACUUCCUCACACCAAGAUCUAAAAAGCCUUGGACUGCUCAGCUGAUGAAAGUGAUGCAAGACUAUCAGCACAUAUCAUGUUUCAGAGUAGACUGAACAAACAUAGCACUAAAGAGCUGCAGCAAACAAUUCUGCAUGGGUGGGACUCUCCCACUCUCUAGUUCAUCAUAAUGCCCAGUCACAGAUCAGCCUUCCCCCCACUUCCUCUGCCCACGUUAACCCCCUACCACAACUCCCCAAGAUAAAAACAUUUAGAAAUCCCAAGCAAAAUCAAGGUGCCAUUGUUCCAUGUACUGUGUGAACAUACACACAGUCCUUGUCCCAGGAAGCCAGAGAAAGGAAGGAUUACUCUUUCUAGUUAACAGAUGAGGGAACUGAGACCCAAGCUUUGAUUUUUCAAAGCUGGUCAACAAUCUGAAUGUCUGACACCCAGAGUGUGAUUGACGGUAAUUUUGUUGUAGUAUUUCUGGUUUGAGUGUGGUCAUAAAAUCAUAGAAAAUGAGGGUUGGAAGGGACCUAAGGAGGUCAUCUAGUCCAACCCCCUGCUCAAAGCAGGACCAUCCCCAACUAGAACAUCCCAGCCAAGGCUUUAUCUAGCUGGGUCUUAAAAACUGCCAAGGAUUAAGAUUCCACAACCACUCUGAAUAACCUGUUCCAGUGCUUUACUACCCUUGUUGUGAGAGUUUUUCCUAAUAUCUAACCUAAACUUCCUUUGCAUGUUGUAAUAGUGUUGCAUGCCUCAGUUUCCCUAGCUUGUACAGGUAGGAAAGACGGGGCUAAG